AAUUGACACGUUGUUUGCAUUUUGCAUAACAAAAGCAUAAUAGCCGUCUCAUUGGUGAUUGGAAAUCCUUUGAGAAAUCAAAGGCAAAGUACCUCACCUAAUGGGUGCGAGUGAAAACUUUUGUUUUCAUUCCGCAUAUUAUCUACGUUUAAUUUUUGAAUUACAUUUUUAUAAUCUUGCAUAAGCAUUGCAUAAAUAGAUUUGACCAGUUGUAGAGCAUAGUCGACUAAUCAGGGGUAUUAUACACAGGUACACCUUCCGAUUAUAUCUAUCGGGAUUGAUCAGAUCCCUAUGCAUCAGUUU
rnacentral:lncRNA from 1 species